UCCGAUAUGGUGUAGGGGUUAGCAUUGGUCGCUUUCAUUCUCAGUUUCUGAGACAAGUGCCGACUAGACCCGGGUUCGAUUCCCGGUAUCGGAA